GAUCCUGGCUCAGAUUGAAUGCUGGCGGCAUGGCUAAAACAUGCAAGUCGAACGAACCCGCAAGGGUGAGUGGCGAAAGGGUUAGUAAUACGAUCGAACGUACCCCGAGGUGGAGGAUAGCGGCGGGAAACUGCCGGUAAUACUCCAUGAUGUCUUCGGACCAAAGUUUUGGCGCCUUGGGAGCGGCGAUCGUCCUAUCAGGUAGUUGGCGGGGUAAUGGCCCACCAAGCCUUAGACGGGUAGCGGGUGUGAGAGCACGGCCCGCAACAUCGGAACUGAGACACUGUCCGGACUCCUACGGGAGGCUGCAGUAACGAAUCUUCCGCAAUGGGCGCAAGCCUGACGGAGCAAUGCCGCGUGCGGGAUGAAGUAUCUCUGGUAUGUAAACCGCUGUCAGGGGACGGAAACAAUGAUUGUCCCCAGAGGAAGUGGCGACUAACUCUGUGCCAGCAGUCGCGGUAAUACAGAGGCCACGAGCAUUAGUCGGAAUCACUGGGCUUAAAGGGUGCGUAGGUGGC
rnacentral:rRNA from 1 species